CACCGCGCCCGGCCUUCAUCGUUCAUUUUCAUGGCUCUUUUAGGCAGUGUCCAUGGAGUCUCCUACAGAGGCGUCAGGACUUGGGAAAGGUUUCUGAGUUUUAGGGGUCCUGACAGUGGUGUUCGUGAUGAGAAUAGGAGGGACUUUGAGCAGGGUUGAGAAGCAAGGGUAAUGAAGCUGGGCUUCCUGUGUCUCUAGGUAAGUUGCGUAUCCAUCAGCCCAUGCCUCACCUCCCAGGAGAUCCUUCUGUAUGUGGUGUGGAGGGUAGCUUAGGAUCUGGUUAAAAGUGAAAUGACAGCAUACUUGAGUGCUAGUGCAAUGUUGACGUGCCAGUUGAACGGCAGUGCCAAGUAAAGGAGAGAUCCACAAAAGCAGGGGUUUAAAAUCAGAAAUUUCUCAGAAAAUUUGUUGUUGUUCUGGAAACAAGGUCUGGCUCUGUCGUCCAGUCUGCAGUGUAAUAAUGUGAUCAUGGCUUACUGCAGUGUUGAACUCCUGGGUUCAAGUGAUCCCCCCACUCAGCCUCCUGAGUAGCUCGAACUGCAGGUGAACACCACGUUUUGUAAAUGUGGCUUCUCUGGCUCUCAGGUUACUUCUGUGGGCAUCCAGAAAUUAAUUCCAGGAUAUUUUAGGGCCUUCAGCCUCUGUCAGACCUGAAAGAGAAGCCAGGCUGCGCAGGUUAAUGUGCUACCGACGGCACAGGCUGUUCACACUGGCGAUGUGGGGUGCUGCCCGCUACGGCAGGGUGCCCCAUUGUUUCAGAUGGGCCCAUGGUGACGGAGUCAGAGCAGCCCACUCGAGGGAGGAGGCCAGGACCCGGCUCCUCUGCCUGUCCACACAUGGCAGGUCAACCUUUGGGGACUCUGCUUUCUCAACUGUUAAGGACAGAAUUCCCUCUUUCCCCUCUUGUGCUCUGGAUAAAUUCAUGAGAUAAGGCAUAGACAUGUUGCAAGUGAUUAUGCAACUUUUAUCAUUAAAGAUAUGUAAUAACACUUAAGGUUCGCCAGCAUACUCCAAGCAUUUGGUAAUUUUUGCAUGAAUUGAUUUUUGGUUUUAAGUCAAAACGUAUUUUGGUAAACAUUCCUGUGAAGGGAGGCCCAUUCUAAGUCUCAGACAGAGCUGGAGUGCCACCAAGACCAGGCCUGGGGUCCCGCUGUUCUGCCAGCCAACUGAUGGGCUCCCCUGUCUCUUCCUGGCAGUGCUCCAUGGCAGUGGGAAGGAGGAUGAGGCCUCGCCACCCCGAAGAGGGCCCCCUGGCCCGCCUCAAUGCUGGAGACAAGUCUGGCCCCAUCUUCCCACUGGGACCUGGGCCAACCCAGAUGUUUCCCACAGCCUCUCCCUCCACUCCUCGCUUCCAGGAUGGGCCCAAAAAUACGCCCAACUCCAGCCUAUUUUUCUCACUCCAAGCUCCUUCCUUUCUAGAUUGCUUUGCCUGAGGAUUCUGCCCCAGGCUGGGAGGGGCUGGGGACCCAAUUCUCCCAUUUCCCUGCGGUUUGGCAGGAGUCUUCCCUCACCCGUGUAGCUCUCAGAGCAGGCUCUGCCUUUGUCUACAGACUGUGGCUCCCUGGACAGGCAAAGGAGAAUGCCUCGGUCACCCUGAUGCCUCCAAGCCCGGUGACAGGAGCUAAGGAUGGCAGGUAGAGAUCUUGGAGCCACCUUGCGGCUGCCCGACCCUCCUGGGAGCUUGAGUGCUGCCCCAUUUCUGAAGCUCCUGGCAGCUGCUCAGUAAAUGGCCUUUGGCCCAAGGCACAGGCUGCCUCUCAGUGUCCGGGGCUAAGAACCAUUCCAGUACAGAGGCUGAAGCCACGGGGGAGAUGAGAGGUGCCCCAGGAUCGUGGUGGAGGGCAAGACCCACGGCCUUGACCGCUGCCUCCGGGGCUGCCACUCCAGGGCCCCUCUCUGUGACAGCCCACCAGGGACGGCACCAGGGACCACAGAUCCUGGCUUGCAAGAACCACCACAAGAGAACAGGGACUUGCUGCCCUCUGCAACCAUCCGAGGGGCCACCACGAAGCCACAGGACACCAGGCUUGCCUGGGAGGCUGGGGUGCCCACCUGGAGCCUCGAGACCCAGAGACACCCUCGAGGCCUGUGUUCUCUCUCACGUGGACUCCACACCUUCCACCGGCCUUUUGUGGGGGUCUGGGCCAGGAGCUGCUUUCUCCUUUGGGAAGUGAAGGUGGGUUCCUCACAGCAGCUCCCUUAAUGUCUCAACCAGCUUCUCCAAAGGAGGCCGUGGUCAGUCCCUGUGGCUGGGGUUUGUGUUCCCCUGUGGGUGGAGGGGAUGAGCUCUUGCAGGCUGGAGCCACUGGCUGGGAGCCCGUCGGGAGCCGCAUUGGAAAGCCCCUUCCUUUCCCACUGUCUUCUGCUCUCCUUCCCCAGGCACUGUCCUGCCUCCACGAAGCCUCUCCCCCGUCCUGGUGCCCUUUCCGGGAUCCGAGUGAUAGUGGGCCCGAUGUCACUGGGGGGACAUCCCAGGAAUUCCUGUUCUUCUCCUCUGGAUGGCCCUCUGGUCUUCCGCAAGGGUGAGAGGAGCUGUCACAUAUUUCUGUCUCAGCUUUAAGGAUAAAAUUCCCCUCCCAAGGCCAGGCAGCUGAUCUCCUACAGCCACUUGUUAGAGACACGGAGCCCUGAAUUCCCACUUGGGUGGUCUUGCGUGGUGCUUCAGAGACCUGACUUGGAUAUGGCAACUCGUGGGGGGAAGGAGGGUUGAGAUGGCAUCUGGAAGCACAGACCGGAGUAGAAAGGCAGGCUGGCUGCAGGGGUUUUAACCCCCACCUUCCCGCCAUCCCCAGCAUUUGAAUGACUUAUUAAGGGAAAUAAGCAUAUGUAUUGGGGGGCGGGGAGUAGUUAGAGAAAUAAAUGUAGACAGCCUCAGA